rnacentral:rRNA from 1 species
UGGUAAUGAUGGCAGAGAGGUCAUACCCGUUCCCAUACCGAACACGGAAGUUAAGCUCUCUAGCGCCGAUGGUAGUUGGGACCUUGUCCCUGUGAGAGUA